UAUCAAACUCAUUUUAAAACAAAAAUGUCUCAGGCAGAGAGGAGAGCUCAGGAACCCUAAAAAUCAAGCCCGACAUUAAUCCACCGGCGUUCUUCAGCCUGCUAUGUUCAUCGUUCCUUUUGCUGGCUUCCAGCCUCUAGAUAUCUAUGGAAGAACGAGCAUCAUUUGAUGUGUACAGGCGAGAUCUGUACUGCUGCCGAGAGAUUGUUAUGAGAAAGCGGUAAUUAUCUCUUUCCCUUAAUCUCACAUCAUAUUGUGUUUAUUUUUUAUCUAUAAGGAACAUAUUUUUGCCGUAAUUUGUUUUUAUGAUUAUAUAUUAGCUUGCACCUUCAAUUUUUUUAAAUGUUGGUAUGCCUGUUAUGGGUAUGUGCCCGAAUUUCUAAUUGGGGGCUUGGAUGUGCUUUUAUUAGUUAAUUUAAUUGGUUUUGUUUUGGACUUUGUGGUUUUAGCUUAUAAAUGGUUGUGUGAAUUUAGAACAUGUAUAUUUGCGGUGAGUUUAAGGUCAUAAUCAAGUCUGGAAUCAAAAAGAUCAAGUACAGAGAUGUUAGGUGGGAAUAAAUUGUGAUGCAAUGCAUACCUUCUGUUUAUUUUUUGGUUGGUGUAGGUGUAUCUAACAAUCCUCCCUUUCUAAGGCUGAAACAGAGAAAACCACCAGCCUAUCUUAAUGCCUGUAGAAUAAUAAAUAUGAAUUUAUUAUGUCAAUUGUUUGUGCAACUUUGCAAAUCGGUGCUGCUUCUCGGUAUCUUUAAUUUAUUUGUAGGAAACAAGAUUUCCACAGCUUUGAACUUUAAGUGCAGAGCAGAUAACAAAGUUGAAGCACGCUUAGAGUAUGACUACAACCCUCGAGAAGUACUAGCGUUGCAAUUUAAAUCCAAUAGCUAACAGCAUCGGAACUGAAACACAGAAUUGGUGCCAAGAGGUCUCACUUCUAAAUGCAAAGUAUGAAUCCCUGCAACACACUCAAAGGCAUUUGCUUGGAGAGGAUCUUGGACCAUUGAGCUUGAAAGAACUGCAAAGUCUUGAGAAGCAGCUGGAAGGGGCCCUUGGACAAACAAGGCAUAGAAAGGUUAUGGUUGGCGACGGUGGUGUUAAUGAUAUUGAGAGAAACAAGCUGCCUUAAUUAGUUUAUGUAUCCCAUGAGAAGAGACCAGGCACGAUCUUCACCAAAUGGCCCUAGAUUACAUGAUACAAUCUGCU